GGUAGCAUUUAUUAGAUUGAAACCAAUUCAGCUUCGGCUGGUGUUGUGUUGAGUCAUAAUAACUGUGCGGAUCGCAUUCUUUGCGAUAAGUCAAAUGAGUUUCUGCCCUAUCAGCUUUGGAUGGUAGGAUAUGGGCCUACCAUGGCGUUAACGGGUAACGGGGAAUUAGGGUUUGAUUCCGGAGAGGGAGCCUGAGAAACGGCUACCACAUCCAAGGAAGGCAGCAGGCGCGUAAAUUACCCAAUCCUAAUUCAGGGAGGUAGUGACAAUAAAUAACAAUGCCGGGCUUUAUAAGUCUGGCAAUUGGAAUGAGAACAAUUUAAAUCCCUUAACGAGGAUCAAUUGGAGGGCAAGUCUGGUGCCAGCAGCCGCGGUAAUUCCAGCUCCAAUAGCGUAUAUUAAAGUUGUUGCAGUUAAAAAGCUCGUAGUUGGAUUUCUGAAUUGAGUAUCCGGUCCGCUUGUCUCUGACGAGUGUGUACUUGUGGAUAUUUGGUUCAUUUUUUGUGAGGAAAUUUAUCUGUCAUUAAGUUGAUGGAUUUAUAGACUUGCAUCGUUUACUGUGAAAAAAUUAGAGUG
rnacentral:rRNA from 1 species